rnacentral:rRNA from 1 species
AACGAACGCUGGCGGCAUGCCUAACACAUGCAAGUCGAACGAAGUCUUCGGACUUAGUGGCGAACGGGUGCGUAACGCGUGGGAAUCUGCCCUUGGGUACGGAAUAACUCAGAGAAAUUUGUGCUAAUACCGUAUAAUGUCUUCGGACCAAAGAUUUAUCGCCCAAGGAUGAGCCCGCGUAAGAUUAGCUAGUUGGUGGGGUAAAAGCCUACCAAGGCGACGAUCUUUAGCUGGUCUGAGAGGAUGAUCAGCCACACUGGGACUGAGACACGGCCCAGACUCCUACGGGAGGCAGCAGUGGGGAAUAUUGGACAAUGGGCGAAAGCCUGAUCCAGCAAUGCCGCGUGAGUGAUGAAGGCCCUAGGGUUGUAAAGCUCUUUUACCAGGGAUGAUAAUGACAGUACCUGGAGAAUAAGCUCCGGCUAACUCCAUG